rnacentral:snRNA from 1 species
AAGUGUCUCAAAGUGAGAUU